UUCGGGGACUAGGACACAGGUGCUGCAUGGCUGUCGUCAGCUCGUGUUGUGAAAUGUUGGGUUAAGUCCCGCAACGAGCGCAACCCUUAUCCUUUGUUGCCAGCGGUUCGGCCGGGAACUCAAAGGAGACUGCCAGUGAUAAACUGGAGGAAGGUGGGGAUGACGUCAAGUCAUCAUGGCCCUUACGAGUAGGGCUACACACGUGCUACAAUGGCAUAUACAAAGAGAAGCGACCUCGCGAGAGCAAGCGGACCUCAUAAAGUAUGUCGUAGUCCGGAUUGGAGUCUGCAACUCGACUCCAUGAAGUCGGAAUCGCUAGUAAUCGUAGAUCAGAAUGCUACGGUGAAUACGUUCCCGGGCCUUGUACACACCGCCCGUCACACCAUGGGAGUGGGUUGCAAAAGAAGUAGGUAGCUUAACCUUCGGGAGGGCGCUUACCACUUUGUGAUUCAUGACUGGGGUGAAGUCGUAACAAGGUAACCGUAGGGGAACCUGCGGCUGGAUCACCUCCUUA
rnacentral:rRNA from 1 species